rnacentral:rRNA from 1 species
UACGUAGGUGGCAAGCGUUAUCCGGAAUUACUGGGCGUAAAGCGCACGCAGGCGGUUGGACAAGUUCGACGUGAAAGCUCCCGGCUUAACUGGGAGAGGUCGUUGAAGACUGUUUGACUUGAGGUCAUGAGAGGGGUGUAGAAUUCCCGGAGUAGUGGUGGAAUGCGUAGAUAUCGGGGGGAAUACCAGUGGCGAAAGCGGCACCCUAGCAUGAACCUGACGCUCAGGUGCGAAAGCGUGGGGAGCGAACGGG